rnacentral:rRNA from 1 species
UACGGAGGGGACUAGCGUUGUUCGGAAUUACUGGGCGUAAAGAGUACGUAGGCUGUUUUGCAAGUUGGGUGUGAAAGCCCGGGGCUCAACCCCGGAACUGCAUUCAAAACUGUGAGGCUAGAGAUCGGAAGAGGUAAGUGGAAUUCCCAGUGUAGAGGUGAAAUUCGUAGAUAUUGGGAAGAACACCGGUGGCGAAGGCGACUUACUGGUCCGAUACUGACGCUGAGGUACGAAAGCGUGGGGAGCAAACAGG